rnacentral:rRNA from 1 species
AGGGAUCAUUACCGAGUGAGGGCCCCCCGGGCCCGACCUCCCACCCUUUGUUUUCCAACCAUGUUGCCUCGGGGGCGACCCGGCCUUCGGGCGUCGGGGCCCCCGGUGGCCUAUUCAACUCUGCAUCUGAGCGUCUGAGCGAAUAGCAAAUCAACUAAAACUUUCAACAACGGAUCUCUUGGUUCUGGCAUCGAUGAAGAACGCAGCGAAAUGCGAUAAGUAAUGUGAAUUGCAGAAUUCAGUGAAUCAUCGAAUCUUUGAACGCACAUUGCGCCCCUUGGUAUUCCGGGGGGCAUGCCCGUUCGAGCGUCAUUACACCACUCAAGCCUGGCUUGGUAUUGGGCAUCGUGCUCCGGCGCGCGCCUUAAUGUUGUCGGCCGAGCCGUCCGUCUCUAAGCGUUGUGGUAACUCAAUCCGCUUGCGAUUCGGACGGGUGCGCGCCGUUAAACCCUCUAUCAAAGGUUGACCUCGGAUCGGGUAGGGAUACCCGCUGAACUUAA